GGGCCGCCGGGCUUGGUGGAGUUGGAGGACUUGGUGGCGUUGGUGGCGUUGGUGGCAUUGGUGGCGUUGGUGGCUUAGGAGUGUCUACAGGUGCCGUGGUGCCUCAGACCGGAGCGGGCGUCGGAAUUGGAGCUGGAGGGAAGCCAGGGAAAGUUCCGGGUCAGUGUGGAGUCUCUGGGGCUGGGGGACAGAGAUCAGGGAGGGACAGAGGUGCCCCAUGGGCCUGGGGGAGGAAGGGCAGGGCAGGGUAGGUGACCUCCAAACCCAAAACAUGGUCCCAUUCUCUGAAAUGGAACCAGAUCAGGAAGCGACGUAAGACAUGAGUGCUGGGGCAGGCUGUGGGGUGACAGAUGAGGAAACUGAGGCUUGGGAUGGACAGUCAGAGCGGAAGGGCCACAGCUGCAGGCGGCUGAGCUGGAGUGGCCCCCAGCAUCCUCUGACACCCAUCUGGUACUCACUGGGCUGCACCCAGCCCUUGAGGAAGUGACUUCAGGUUACUCAAUAGGCUGCCUGAGUGCGCUGAGGCCGCACAGCAGGAGGGACAUGUGGAAUCAGUUAGCAGAGGUGGGCUGGCCACGGGCCCGGUAAACAGGCUUCCAGAGACAGAAAUAAAUCCACACACAGAGGGUUUGCAGAUGACUUCCGAGACUUCGGAAGGAGGGCCACGGCCACCCCAAGUCUGCCCAGUGCCCUGGCAGCUAGAGGGCUGCUGGUCUGGGACCCCCGGUGGGAAGGUGGGGAGGGUCCUGGGUCUCAGCUGCUGAUGGGGCUCCUCUCUCUUCCUCUGACUGCAGGUGUGGGGCUCCCAGGUGUAUACCCAGGUGGAGUUCUCCCAGGCACAGGAGCUCGCUUCCCUGGGGUAGGGGUGCUCCCUGGAGUCCCCACUGGAACUGGAGUCAAGGCCAAGGCCCCAGGUGGAGGCGGAGCUUUUGCUGGAAUCCCAGGGGUCGGGCCCUUUGGGGGCCAGCAGCCUGGGGUCCCCCUGGGAUACCCCAUCAAAGCACCCAAGCUGCCAGGUGGCUACGGACUGCCCUACACCAACGGGAAGCUGCCCUAUGGAGUUGCUGGUGCAGGGGGCAAAGCCGGCUACCCCACAGGGACAGGGGUUGGCUCCCAGGCAGCAGCUGCAGCAGCUAAAGCAGCCAAGUAUGGUGCUGGAGGAGCCGGAGUCAUCCCUGGCAUCGGAGGGGGUGGCAUUCCUGGAGGAGCUGGCACCAUUCCCGGGAUUGGGGGCAUCGCAGGUAGCAUCACAUCCAGCAGGGGGUGGGCACGUCUUUGGGGGGAAAGGGCCUCAAUGCCUGUGGCUGUCUUUUCAGGGGCUGGGACUCCUGCAGCAGCUGCCGCUGCAAAGGCUGCCGCAAAGGCUGCCAAGUACGGAGCUGCUGGAGGCCUAGUACCUGGUGGGCCAGGAGUUAGGAUCCCAGGUGUCGGGAUCCCAGGUGUCGGGAUCCCAGGUGUCGGGAUUCCAGGUGUUGGGAUCCCAGGUGUCGGGAUUCCAGGUGUUGGGAUUCCAGGUGUUGGGGGCCCAGGUGUCGGGAUCCCAGGCAUUGCAGAUGGAGCAGGUGAGCUUGUGUGUGUGUGUGUGUGUGUGUGUGUGUGUGUGUGUGUGUGUGUGAGAGAGAAAAAUUCCAGGUGUUGGGGGCCCAGGUGUCGGGAUCCCAGGCAUUGCAGAUGGAGCAGGUGA
rnacentral:lncRNA from 1 species